rnacentral:rRNA from 1 species
GACGAACCGUGCGAACGUUGUUCGGAAUCACUGGGCUUAAAGGGCGCGUAGGCGGGCUCACAAGUCAGGGGUGAAAUCCCACGGCUCAACCGUGGAAGUGCCUUUGAUACUGUGGGGCUUGAGGGAGGUAGGGGCGUGCGGAACUUCCGGUGGAGCGGUGAAAUGCGUAGAUAUCGGAAGGAACACUGGUGGCGAAAGCGGCGCGCUGGACCUCUACUGACGCUGAGGCGCGAAAGCCAGGGGAGCAAACGGG